rnacentral:rRNA from 1 species
AACGAACGCUGGCGGCGCGCUUAACACAUGCAAGUCGAACGAGAAGGCGUAGCAAUACGCUUGUAAAGUGGCGAACGGGUGAGGAAUACAUGGGUAACCUACCCUCGAGUGGGGGAUAACCCGCCGAAAGGCGGGCUAAUACCGCGUACGCUUCCGAUCUUGCGGGAUCGGAAGGAAAGCUGUCCCUUGGGGAUGGCGCUCAAGGAUGGGCUCAUGUCCUAUCAGCUUGUUGGUAGGGUAACGGCCUACCAAGGCAUCGACGGGUAGCUGGUCUGAGAGGACGAUCAGCCACACUGGCACUGCGACACGGGCCAGACUCCUACGGGAGCAGCAGUGAGGAAUAUUGCGCAAUGGGCGAAAGCCUGACGCAGCGACGCCGCGGUGGGGGAUGAAGGUCUUCGGAUUCGUAAACCCCGUUUCGGGUGGGAAGACGGCCCUAGACAACUAGGGCGGACGGUACCGCCAGAAGCAGCCACGG